UAAGGAAUAUUGCGCAAUGGGCGAAAGCCUGACGCAGCGACGCAGCGUGGGGGAUGAAGGUCUUCGGAUUGUAAACCCCUUUCGGGAGGGAAGAUGGAAUGGGGUAACCCAUUCGGACGGUACCUCCAGAAGCAGCCACGGCUAACUUCGUGCCAGCAGCCGCGGUAAUACGAAGGUGGCAAGCGUUAUUCGGAUUUACUGGGCGUACAGGGAGCGUAGGCGGUUCGGUAAGCCCUCUGUGAAAUCUUCAGGCUUAAUCUGGAAAAGUCGGAGGGGACUGCUGGGCUAGAGGACGGGAGAGGAGCGCGGAAUUCCCGGUGUAGCGGUGAAAUGCGUAGAGAUCGGGAGGAAGGCCGGUGGCGAAGGCGGCGCUCUGGAACGUUUCUGACGCUGAGGCUCGAAAGCGUGGGGAGCAAACAGGAUUAGAUACCCCCGUAGUCCCUGAGCGGGCUGGCAAGGCGCAU
rnacentral:rRNA from 1 species